rnacentral:rRNA from 1 species
UACGGGGGGUGCGAGCGUUGUCCGGAAUCACUGGGCGUAAAGGGCGCGUAGGUGGUUUGAUAAGGGUGUGGUGAAAGCCCGGGGCUCAACCCCGGGUCUGCCGUGCCGACUGUCAAACUCGAGGGCUGUAGAGGCAGACGGAAUUCCGGGUGUAGCGGUGGAAUGCGUAGAGAUCCGGAGGAAGACCGGUGGCGAAGGCGACAUCCUGGACCAACACUGACGCUGAGGAGCGAAAGCCAGGGGAGCAAACGGG